rnacentral:tRNA from 2 species
GCGGCCGUAGCUCAAUGGUAGAGCUCCUGCCUUCCAAGCAGGUGACGUGGGUUCGAUUCCCAUCGGCCGCUCCA